rnacentral:rRNA from 1 species
GUGGGGAAUAUUGGACAAUGGGCGCAAGCCUGAUCCAGCCAUACCGCGUGGGUGAAGAAGGCCUUCGGGUUGUAAAGCCCUUUUGUUGGGAAAGAAAUCCUGUCGGUUAAUACCUGGCGGGGAUGACGGUACCCAAAGAAUAAGCACCGGCUAACUUCGUGCCAGCAGCCGCGGUAAUACGAAGGGUGCAAGCGUUACUCGGAAUUACUGGGCGUAAAGCGUGCGUAGGUGGUGGUUUAAGUCCGUUGUGAAAGCCCUGGGCUCAACCUGGGAAUUGCAGUGGAUACUGGAUCACUAGAGUGUGGUAGAGGGAUGCGGAAUUUCUGGUGUAGCAGUGAAAUGCGUAGAGAUCAGAAGGAACAUCCGUGGCGAAGGCGGCAUCCUGGGCCAACACUGACACUGAGGCACGAAAGCGUGGGGAGCAAACAGGAUUAGAUACCCUUGUAGUCC